UUUGUGCUUCUCAUCAGUGCAAAGAAUACACACACAGGACCCUUAUACGCCUUGUGUACAGGGCGUAUGAGUUCUAAAACCACCAGGGAAUGCCAGGGACUUGGGAAGACAAUCUUCCAGAUAAUGACUCUGAUAAAUAGCCUCCCCAAAUUUGAAAGAUCAGAAAGCCAAUUUGCAGAAACGGACACCAAGCAUCCUUCUCUUGGCAUGAGAAGCAGCCCCGAAAUCUACUGGAGAGACAAGCAGAAGAGAGGUCUCAGACAAUUCUUUAAACUUGAUCAGAAGCCCACGAAAGCCCGUCCUGUUCUCUUUGUUUUGGAAGUGAGCUUUCAAGGACACAUCUGGGUUCUUUCAGUUCUUUUCAGGGUGGCAAGCUGACGUCUUUAAGUACGAUUUCAAGUCUACAAUGAAAUUAAGCAAAGACAAGAUGGAUUCUGAAAAAGGAAGAAAGGAUGGAAGCACUUGUCAAAAGGCCAGGUGUGUGGUGAUGAAGAUGGUUAUUCAUAGCUCGGAGACUCAUCUCAUCAUUACAAGCAUAAUAACACCACUUCCUUGAAGGCCACCACGCAGGUGAAAUGUUGUAUUGCAUGUGAAAAAACUUCGUAAACUCAUCUACACUUGGCAAAUGUAAAUGAGGAAGAUUAAAUCACAACACUGAGAUUUUGUUCAAAAAAGUUCUGGGAUAUUUGGAGAAGACAUUUUUUUUCUUUCAUAAUUCUGUGCAUCAUGAAUUUUCAUUUUAAAUUUCAGGGGAUUUUUAAGUUUUUGCUAAAGUCAACAUUUAAAAAUAUUGUAUGGAUGCAAAAUUAUUUUAUCUACACUUCAAGGGUAUAUAUAAUGGUUUGAUGUUUCAGUUUUCAUGUAUAACUUAAGUCUUGUUCAAACACACUAAAGAUAGCGUUUUAUUAGGACUGGCGAGGAUGAUACCAACAUAUAUUCAUGGACUUAUUCCAUCUGUAUGGAAUAUGUAGAUCUCACUCUAAAUAUAGUCUUUCAGUGUUCUGAAAUGCUUGUGCUUUGGAAAUCUGAAGUACAAUAAACUGAUACUAUAUUAACUUGGAAAUUCAGUUUCUCAAUUUUAAAGAAAUGUGCAUCUUCCUAUAAAAUAAUAGAUGUUUUCUAAUUUAAAAGGUUAAUGCACAGAGAUCAAUGACAACUCUGAAAACAUCCAAAAGCCCCUAUACCUUAGUAUUGCACACAAUGUAUUUCCCAUUUUUUCAUUCUUCAGAUGUUUCUGAUCACAGCAAUUUCUCACCUGCUCUAGGUAAAAAAUCUAUUUCAAGAUAAAAUACUGUUUCUGAGGGAUACACACAAAAUGUAAUUGGUAUUAUUUAUUCAUCCCCUCGGCUAAUUUAUAUUUAACAUGGAUUUUGCACUGGUAGUCUGAGUGCUUAACUAUAUAAUCUUAACCAGGUUUUUGUAUGCUUACACUUCUCACUCCCUUUAUGUUUAAAAAAAUACUCUUUAUGGUAUAUUGAAACAAAUAUUGAAUUAAUUAAGUGCCCACAGUUACUUAAUUUUCUCAAUAUUGGGUUUACAUGCAAAAACCCCAAGUGCUGAAGUAUUGAAUCAAAUUUUUAAUUUUUUUGUAAGUAGCCACUGGAUAAAUUUAUACAUGUUUCAUUUCAUCUGCACAUGGCUUUUUGAUGUCUGAAGAGAUCUCAACACAGAUUGCUUUGUGUCAUCUGUAUAGUAUAUAUUUCGGAAUUGAUCUCCAAAAGUCUAACAUGAGAAGUUUGUAAUAAAAUUUAUUUCCAAAAGUU